rnacentral:rRNA from 1 species
AACGCGAAGAACCUUACCUGGGCUCGAAAUGCUACGGACCAGCUUAUGAAAGUAGGCCUUCCCGCAAGGGACCGUAGUAUAGGUGCUGCAUGGCUGUCGUCAGCUCGUGUCGUGAGAUGUUGGGUUAAGUCCCGCAACGAGCGCAACCCUUGUCCUGUGUUGCCACUCCCGUAAGGGAAGCACUCUCAGGAGACCGCCAGCGAUAAGUUGGAGGAAGGUGGGGAUGAUGUCAAGUCAUCAUGGCCUUUAUGUCCAGGGCUACACACGUGCUACAAUGGUCGGUACAAAGCGCUGCUAACCCGCGAGGGGGAGCCAAUCGCAAAAAGCCGGCCUCAGUUCGGAUUGCAGGCUGCAACUCGCCUGCAUGAAGCUGGAAUCGCUAGUAAUGCCGUAUCAGAAUGAUGGCGUGAAUACGUUCCCGGGCCUUGUACACACCGGUACUA